GUAGGUGGCAAGCGUUGUCCGGAAUUAUUGGGCGUAAAGCGCGCGCAGGCGGUUCUUUAAGUCUGAUGUGAAAGCCCACGGCUCAACCGUGGAGGGUCAUUGGAAACUGGAGAACUUGAGUGCAGAAGAGGAAAGCGGAAUUCCACGUGUAGCGGUGAAAUGCGUAGAGAUGUGGAGGAACACCAGUGGCGAAGGCGGCUUUCUGGUCUGUAACUGACGCUGAGGCGCGAAAGCGUGGGGGAGCAAACAGGAUUAGAUACCCUGGUAGUCCACGCCGUAAACGAUGAGUGCUAAGUGUUAGGGGGUUUCCGCCCCUUAGUGCUGCAGCUAACGCAUUAAGCACUCCGCCUGGGAGUACGGCCGCAAGGCUG
rnacentral:rRNA from 1 species